rnacentral:misc_RNA from 1 species
GCAGCCAAUCGUGACGAAUUAUUGCUCCGCCCCUGUCCCGCUCCAGCGCUCUAGUGGCUCUAGCUUCGGAAGUCGCCCCGUGUCCCAAAGCAUAAACUUUGCAUUUUAUCCGUUUCUGUCCUUCAUGCCUUCAUUUCGUGAAGAGUUCCUGACCACAUCUGUGGUUAUGUAGCCAUCGCCGUUCGGCAAAAGGAGUGCGAGGUGAUUCGCUCUUUCGGCGUGAUGCCUACGACGACGCCUUGAGAUGUUUUGGCUGUCGAAGCAGAAGAGUGUUUGCCAAAAUGCGGCAUUCCUGUGGGAUGUGUCCCAGGUGUGGCUACUGGUGGUGUUGGGUGUUGUGCGUGCUGGCUGCCCGCACUGCACCACGCCUCCUCCGUCGGCCAUAUUGGAAAUGCCGCCCCCUCCACGCCUUCCAUCGUUCCCCAGCUGGGUCGUGUGCCACCAGCACGCAUCAUUCAAUGGCUCGGCACACUCCUCCGGCUGGUGGCUUAUGGGGCCCAGCUCAGGCGGCGGAGACAAGGCGUGGCCCCUGGCCGUGGUUUUGGUGGCUGGCUCGGCCACAGUGCUUGGCUCCGUCUUGCUGCUGGUUCUGUCCAAGAAAAAGCGGUGGCAGCCAGGCCGCUCCUCCCCAGGCCAUCACCGAGUGCCUGCAGCCCUGCUUCCUUCCAAGGGCAUCCUGGUGGGGGCCUCCUCCCUGCCAGCUGCAGGUGCCUACGACAACUCGGCCUUCGCGGAAAACGUCACCGUCACCGGCGGCGGUCCACCACGCGCAUCCCUGCUACGCCAGCUGCAACCGCCGUCUCUCGGAGGCUACCGGCAGCUACCCCAUCAUCACCACCAUGGCCCACCGCUUCAGUAGAUGGAUCGCAUGUGUUGGUAACCUUUCAGGAGGGUUGUCUGGUGUAGAACAAUUCCCCAGUGUUGGCAUUCGUAAUCUAGGGUGCAAAAAAUAACUCGAAAACAGUUGCGGUUGUUUCUUGACCUUUUAGAAAAUUUAUUUUCUCUGCACCAGGAUUCAUGAAUGAACACAAGUGGCACGAGACACUGUGCAUCUUCGUCCUAUGUGGUGAAAGGUCUUACCAUCAAACUUACCAGUUGCUACAUCCCAUGUGAACAAGAAAAGGUGCACGAUGUGUUCAAAUGAGAGUGUUCCACCAUGGCAGCACUCGAAGACAUUCAGUUUUCUGUGCUGUUGGCAAGUCUCUGUGCAGGCUGCACACGUGAGGUGAUUACCGAUGUGUGCAUUGCUUGCAGUAGUUGUCCACAGUGUUAGCCACUGGGAGUGUUAGUCAGAGCGGCGCUGGCUCCCAGGUUUGCGGGCACAUAAAUACCCGUAAGGACAAACACCGCCCCUGGGAGAGCAUCGGGCGCGUUAUCCAAAUGUUGCAGGUUCGGUCCCUGCUGGUGGCAAGUGGUCAUAAUUACCACAGCACGCUUAUAAAAACACUACCAUUAACGUCCCCUAUACCUUCUGUGGCUGCAUUAUCUGUUGGCUUUCAUUAAGGUUGUCUCAACAAAGAAACGAGCCCUUAAACAGAGGAGUCACUUGUCAAAGUUUCUGACCUUCAAGAAACUCGGCAGCUUUUUCAGAGCAGUAUGGAAACCCUUUUACCCACCUGACCAAGUGUAAUGUUGUGCUUCAUCGCCAUGGGUGUUCCGGGCCCAAAAAUCUUCGGGCGCCCAUUCACAUCGGCGUGUCAACUGAGUGCCGGAACGAUGAAAGUUUCCGAACGAGUGGUUCGGUGGGGCAGUGGCGACUGCCCACCGUGAACAAAUUUUUACAUGUAAAUAAGCCAAUGACCGAGGGUAUCGCAGGCCAGAGUCAUGACGUUUUACUACGCUUGCGGCGUACGCGACCGAACUACGCAAGUAGUCCGUGUCUUCGUUUUGAGAACGAAGUUGUGAAGGGCUCGACAUUUUUCUCACGUGUUUUUCUACGUGCAGAAAUGACAUAAUCUCGUUUAAGAUCAGCACGGGCUCGCUUUCGAACCAGGAUGUCGGUGAAAGCUUUAACAAAACACCUACUGUAACGACGUUAGCAUUAGUUUUCGCCACCCCACCCUGACCAAGUUGCACCGUUGGCCUUUGUCGCAUUUUAGAUAUUCGUCCUGUCGAAUUAUUCGAAACUUGGAAUACUAGCUAUUCGAAAGUCGAAUCGAAUUAUUCAAUUAGGUACUAUUCGAUUCGAAUUCGAAACUCGAAUAUUCGCACACCCCUACAAAAAACUGUGGCUGGAGCCAUUUCAGCAUCAUGUAAUUUUUGUCUCUUGCCAUAGGUGUCUCAGCAUAAGUAGUAUCCUUUUUUUAUUGUCUACCCUACCUAUCAGCAUCGUCAACAUGAGGCCUGACUUCUCUGGCCAGUCGGGCUUGGCGUUCCUCGUUCGUUACAGUAGUGCAUUUGUCUAUCUUAUAGAUUCCAACCGAGUUUGGCAUUGUCCAGAGCUCCUGAGUAUUGCGCUUUCGUGUAGCAACAUACUACAUUGCCUGUGGAGCCAAACCUUUUUGUAAUUAUUGUGUAGAUGUUUGUGUGCACUGUUUCAACAGGCCUCAGUUUGGCCUUACCCAGGAGAUCUUCCCUUUGGAGCUGUCAAAAUACUUGUAACAGGCCUUUGGGACUUAAAGGGGCCCUGCAACACUUUUCCAAGAGUGGCUUCAUUAAAGAAGCUUACUUCCUCACGAGUGGACUGCCGCAAAAAUUUUUAGAAUCCGUCCAGUACGAGCGGAGUUGAAAACAUUUGUCGCACGCUGUAAUUGCUUUCUCUCGUCCUGAAGGAAGAAGGGACAUCACGCGUGCCUCGUGACCUUGGCACUUCUUUUUUUUUUUUUUCUUCAAACGCGCAACAUACUUUCAGGGCGAUUGCGCGCACGCACGGGCAAGUGACAGCCUCCCACGGCGGCCGUUGUAACUACUGAGCACGCCAUAUUCAAAUCGGCCAGUGGUGUGGCCAGUGGCAGUGACGCCGUAAGCAUCAUUUUUGUCGAGAAAAGAGGAAUUAUUGUAAAUUUAUUGUAAAUCCCAGGCCACGUGCUGCGCUAUAAUGUUUGGCUCACGUGUUCUCGAGAGCCUUGACUACUGAUCGGCAGAAUUUUCUAACCGUGCUGAAAGUGUGUUGCAGGGCCCCUUUAAGAAACGUUGUCUGCCCUCAGCUGUCCCUGAAAUCGUAUGAGCAGGGUUACCUGUGGGAUCUAUACACACCCCGUGUGAAAACUUGCAUUUGUUUCCUCGACUUGGAGGCUGUGUAGCUCUGUGCAAUAUAUUGCCCACAUAUUUUGCGUUCUUGUUUUUUUUUUCAAUGAGGUUUUUCUUCUUACAAUGUACUGAAAGUCUGCUAGUCAUACCAUUUUGCAGGUGAAUGUUGACCUGUUCCUCAUUUUUGUUUUCAAAUGCUCUCUGUGGCUCACAAGUUGCCCUUUAGGCUGGAAGAGCCGUGUCUGGUCAUCGUUCUUUAGGCUCUUUUGCGCACUUUGUAUCAGUGUUUACUUUUCUGCCCUUUGUGCCAUGUAAAACUGGGGUCUUUUGUCAGGCCAGACACCUAGUACACUGUGAACAUGCAAUGCCUGCUAUCAUGUUGCAAAAUGUUCUGGUUGCCAUUGGUAAAAUGUAGUUGACUGCUGAUAAUAAAUGAAGCUACUAAUGCUUCAUUUAAAGGUGACAGAAAGUAAAAGGUAGGGCAAUUUCAUUGAAUCUGGUAUAGAAUUUACUGAUGCUACAUCAUCGUGAUGAAGGUUUGUCAGUGUGUUUAAAAUUAAGCUCUGUUAGAGUGUGUGGUGUGCAGGACUCGGAUGGAUGCUGAUAUCUCGGGCACAUAAAUUAAAUUCUUUGUUGAAGGGACCCUGAAACAGUUUUAACAAUUUUGUACAGAUGCAGCGAGCCUGUUAAGCAUGUCCUAAGGAUGACUUGCAGACGAAUUUAAGCUCUCUGCAUCAAGCUUGUAAUUUAUUGCGACGCUUUAAACAUGAAAAUCACUGCACAUCGCAGCAGCACAGCUGAAUGACCUGUCAACUUGCCACUUUCAUUCUACGUAGCGCUGUUCCACUAUAUAAAGUGUCAGUGACUGAUGUGAUAGCACAGGUCCAGUCUAAGUCACUGAACCUCCGGUGGACAGCGAGUUUAUCUCGAUGUUUCUUUUCUCGGACACCAUGAAUUGCCCUAGCUGCGUUGUGUGCCGGAAAUCUAGCGAUUGGCAAGCAGCGAGCAUAGUCGCUUCGGCUCGUAGCUGCAGUGAGCGUCGAGCUCUCACUGUCCAAUUAACGCCAGGAUCCAUGCGUCUACAGCUGCAACUUCACCGCCGAAGACACUACGAUAUUGCCCAAGUUUACACUUAUCGAUGAUCGUUCUCAUACUUUUUGUUUCUCUGCAGACUUCUUGGCAUUAACAGAUUUUUGGCAUACAGGAGAAUAAAAUGGGAACGGCUGGUAGUGUUGCCGGAGCAGAUCUGCGAUGUGCUUCGUCUCCGUUGAGCCCCCUGCCGUCACCAGCGACAGCUGCACGUUGUGCAUCAAGUUCCGGAGGAAAGGCAGUGUUGAGAAGGAUGGUCUCAUGUAAGUGCCUUCACACAAGGCCUAAUUUAUGGUGCGAUGAUGCUGGAGCCUAAACGCUGACAAAAUUUCACAAAUCGUUUCUGGGUCCCUUUUACGAGGAGAAAGCAGUGUGUGGCCCUUUGAGUUCUCUGUGGCGGUUAAAGCAAGGUCAUCCUGAUUAUAAAUUGGUCGCACAGUUAUCAUCAAGCAUGAAGGCAGCCUGCCCGAGUUGAGUCUGCUCCCAAAACUAUCUGUCAAGUGGAGCUUUAAGGUAAGACCUUGGUUUUCAAGCUCUGUAGUCAUUCAGAUAUCACACCACACAAAUUGCAGUGCAGUUGUUUUGAACCCAUGGCACAUCGUAGAGAAUAACUGCUUUGUCGUGGCUAGUACUGCCUCUGAGUAGCUCUCCCUUCAGCUGCAUGUCAUGCUUUAGAGAGCAUCUUGUACUAUAUGGCCGACUUGAAAGCGAAAUGGAACUGUUGUUGCUCGGUCAUUCUAAUUGUGUUACUAAUGUUGCGUGUCAGUGCUCUACAUGACACGUUGCUGUAUGUUGCGUGCAUAAAAGUUGCAGGAAUGGUAAGCAACUGUAUGAGCCUUGUGUCUGCAAUAGGUCUCUGUAUACAUGCAGCUUGUACUACAGUCGACGCUGGAUAUAUCGAAAUAUUGUCUGUAUGUGACAUCUGAAUGUCCCCUUUGAAAUUUUGUGGAAAACUAUAGAUUCAUUGUGUGCACAUAUACACACGUUGAAAGCUGCAUCAAGUUCCUGCAGGUCUUCUAAUGUGGCCAUGUUCCCUCCUUGCAAUGUGAGGAGCAGCAGUGCCAAACAAAGCCUUAUAGGCCAUAUAAAAAAUAUGAGCAAGCCUUGUUUCUCAGUUGCUGCUGAUGUGGUUGCAAUCAUGAGAACAGUGGCACUUUGUCUUCUCACUCAGAGGACUGGCUUCUGCAACUGGCCACGACUAGAAUGUUGCAGUACAUUAAGGGGACUGUCUGCCGCGGCAACGAGCAUGCUUUUGCCCCAUAAAAAAGGAAAUUAUUUUUAAUUUGAUGUUGAAUAUUGUGAAAGAAUGACUGCUAGCGUCACCCAACAACGAUGUGGUUCAAUCUACUGCUAGGACAAGAAAUCCUCGCAGGUAGACUAAUUUUGCUUAAAAACAAACAUGUAUUACUUGAAAUUGUAUUUUACGCACUUGAGGCAGCUUUCGCUUGCGUCAGAGAGUAAUUUUUUGCUUUUUUUUUUUUCUUGCGCAUCCAAAAAGGUGCCCGGUGGUGCUGCUUGCGGCGCCGUUUUCGAUUUCGUUUGCUUCAACUCGUGUGCUAUGUCAUGCAGCCCUCCGCGCUGGUCGUACUGUGCCACUGUAUUGUUUGCAUAUUUUGAAUGUGCUGCGCUGUGAAGGCGUGCAUUUAUCGUCACUUUUUGACAAAUCAACUUGGCUUGGAUUGCAGCAUCAGUGCUAAAAUAAACGCAUAGACUGCGAUUACAGCAGAACAAGUGUUCUGCAAUCGUAUAAUAAGGCUAAAUUUAACCGCUAGCACGCUGAAAAUGACUGUUACAUUCAUUACAUUAGUGUUCAGCGAAAAUAAAGUAAUCCUACAGAAAUCACAUGUGAUUUCGGUUUUAAUUUUUACCGGCACUACAAUCGGUCAUCGCGUCCACCAACCAGUGUUGUGGGCAUGUUUCAUGCCAAUGGAAGAAAAAGAUAGAAAUAUUCUGUUUUAAAAAUUUCCGCUCACUUUCCAGAGAAACCACUGCAAGGUUGGACACUUCAGACGGUACGCUUUCUAUUGCGGUACAAAACAGGAAAGCGAUAAAGGACGGUAGACAGUCCCUUUAAGACUAGUGCAUUUCCACUGUCCUGCAGCAAAGGACUACGUAAUAGUACACAGAUGAGGCAUGUGUGAGCAGGAAUGGCUGCCUUUGUGACCUGCUGCCGACAUGGUGCCUAUCAAUACACCUGGGAUAAGGGUGUGCAGCAUCAGUCACAUUAAUGCAUGCGAGGCACACCAUGGUCCCAAGCAGCCAGUCAACAGAGGCUUUUACAGAUGGCAUUGCUAUGACUGAGACCGUUUUGCAGGCCGAGUUGCUUGCGGCAUUGUUAUUUGACAUACAGUAAACUCCCUUUUGGGCCUUGUGGAACCGCAAAGUUUCACUUGGCAUUAUUCAAAAUUAACGCGCUUGAAGUACAGUAGACGGUCAUUAAACGGAGCCACAAGGGACCAGGAGAACAGGAGUUCCGUUUACCGAGAUGGGGCAGAACGAAACCAAUCAUAUUGGAGGCAGUUCUUCCAUUUAAGCGGCAAUUUCAUUAAGGGAGAGUAUACUGUAGUGUCUUUUUGCUUUCUGAUCUAGAAGUGUGACUCGGGUAUCAUUUGACCAAGGGUGCACUGCCCAAGCGUUGAUGCGAUCAUCAGUCACCAGCCUGCUGCAGUCCUUGGUACUGGCCUUAGUGCCGACAAAUUUCUCAUAAUAGACAAAAGCAGAAGUGCUGUUGACUGCUUGGAGUGGCCAUUGCACGCAUGAAGGUCAGACUGUCUGAAGCAGCAUGCUUUUGUGUUCACACUAAGUGACCUUUACAUAUGCAGCAAAACUUGUUUCUUGCAUAGGGGAGCGCAGAAGCGGUUCGGAAGAAAGCGCACAGAACAGGAAGACGCUUCUGCGCUCCCCUACGCAAGGUGCUGAACAACUCACCAUCUUGGAGUAAAGGCUGGUUACAAGAGACACUUAAGAGUCCCAGGAUACGUUUCUUUUAACCAAGGUCUCUCGUUGCCGGAAAUUCCAAAAACAACGAGGAGUCUGACUCGGUCAUUUUGUUAUGGUACAUCGGCAUCAAAAUGCGUUUAAAUACAUUUACAGAAAAGUGGUUCGGGAUUUCGGGAUGGCUUAAAAGGGACACUAAAGGCAAAUAACAAUUUAUGUCAGAGUGAAAGGUCAACGUGUGAGAACGUCUAAAACGUCAGCAGUGCUCUAGUAAUCGAGAAAUUAAGGUGAACAUAGGACACGAUGUGUGCCACUAGUGGGAUAUUUUGGAAAUGAUCCCGACGACGUCAAGAGUCCUGAGUACAAUUAGCCACUAGUAAUCAAACUAGUUACGAUAAAAAAAAAAAAGAACCUUCCUUGCAUCACAAGACGGAAUAAAAUGCUGCUUCUUCAUUUCUGUUUGAUUCGUGGAACAAAGAACCUUGGCGUUACCAUGGAGAAUGGCGUGAGGGGUUCAAAAGUUCAGUUUUCGCGAAGCUGUGCAUCUCGGUGGUAGUUUCGGUAUCGCGUACUGCUGCGUUGUGCUUGGCUCUCGCUAUUUUCGCACUGAUAAUACUCUACUGCUGCUGCUGGCCAAGCUAAGCUCCAUUACAGUGAACUAUACAGUUUUGGAGUGGCCCGUGGCUGUGUCUUGGCGAAGUUGAUGGCCGCUGUUGCGCAAGAAACCGUAGCGUCGGCGGCCAGGCAGUAAAGGCGGGCAACGCUGGGCACGGCAACUGCUAUGUCAGAAUGCCCGUUCAGGCGGGUGAUUUAAAGUGCACCAACACCGUGCAGAUCACUGAAACAUGAUUUUCUUUCAAAAUAAGCAUUUCCUUGGCACGAAACAAGCACUACAAUGUUUGUGGAACACUAUUUCAACAAUCAAUGUCGACUUAAUAUUUGCCUUUAGUGUCCAGAUUGCUUUUUGGUGACUGCACAUUGUAGUAUUAGCUUCUUUCUCAACUUCUGGAGGUAAAGCACUCUGCAAGCCUUCCUGUUGCUCGUCCUACCUUUCGUCAGAUAUUCGUCAGCCUCAUGUUCCAGCACUUUCUGCCCUGCAAUGUCCUCGUCAUAAUUCAUAAUGACAGAAUGUUCACUGCACUUUUUAGUGACACCCAUGCAAGGAACGACAUCGAUCUGCACAAUGGAAAAGAAUCGAGCCAAGGGAAUAAAAAUUGCAGCAUCUACCAGCUGGUCCAGUGUCAGCCGUGUUGCAUGAACAUGUCUAGGUGGUGUCUCUUCUAACCUAAAGAAUGUUGUCCUGAGUAACCGAGUGUCUCUCGUAAGCAUGUCUCUUGUAUGCAAUGUUGUUCACAUGGUGAAUAUAAAAACCAAACCAUAUUGAAAAGUCUCUUAUAAGCGAAUGUAACAAUGUCUCGUAACGAGAUUCCACUGUGGAGUGAUGUACAGUUUCUUGCCACGACCUCCUUUGCAAUAUUCACAUAAGCCAAGAAGUUGAAUUAACCAGGAUGAGAAAUCAGUGGGAGCCCGAUUUUGUGCGUCCACUAUGGAGUAAGAAAUCAAGUUCCUGCCUGUGACUAUCUCGGGAAAACUGUCUAGCCGCACAUACUUUCCAGAUAAUCUUGUGCAUGAAAUCGUGUGCAUAUUAAAGUACACGUGGUAAUCUGCUUUGAUAUAUUCAGGGUUGACUGUGUAGCCUUGCACUGUUUCCUUUCUGAGAAUUGCAUGGAGGAAUACGUGUGGCCUCUUGUUCUAACCUGCACUCAUAUGUAUUUUUCCUGUGAUCUUCCCAACGUGUGUAGUCUUCUCUCAAAGGACAGCCUUUCUGUCACUUGACCAAUAAAUGUAUCGAAGGCA